GACGAACGCUGGCGGCGUGCCUAAUACAUGCAAGUCGAACGCAGUGGGGACGGGUGAGUAACACGUGGGUAACCUCCCAUCAGAGGGGAUAACACUUGGAAACAGGUGCUAAACCGAUACUGAUGGAUGGACCCGCGGUGCAUUAGCGAGUUGGUGAGGGAACGUCUCACGAAGGCCACGAUGCAUAGCCGACCUGAGAGGGUGAUCCGCCACACUGGGACGGAGACAAGGUCCAGACUCCUACGGGAGGCAGCAGUGGUGAAUCUGCGGCAAUGGGCUAAAGUCUGACUGAGCAACGCCGCGUGAGUGAAGAAGGUUUUCGGGUCGUAAAGCUCUGUCAGUAGGGAAGCGGUAUCCAACUAGGAAGCACCGGCUAACUACGUGCCAGCAGCCGCGGUAAUUC
rnacentral:rRNA from 1 species